rnacentral:rRNA from 1 species
CCUGAACGCUGGCGGCGUGGCUAAGACAUGCAAGUCGCACGGAUGUAGUAAUACAUCAGUGGCGGACGAGUGAGUAAUUUAUCGCUAAUGUACCCUGGAGCCUGGGAUAGCUGUCCGAAAGGACAGGUAAUACCAGAUGAAAUAGAGCCUGUCGCAUGACAGGAAUCUCAAAGCAGCAAUGCACUCUUGGAGCAGGCGAAUCGUAUCAGCUAGUUGGUGAGGUAACGGCUCACCAAGGCGAUGACGCGUAGCUGGUCUGAGAGGACGACCAGCCACAUCGGAACUG